rnacentral:tRNA from 1 species
GUCUGGAUAGCUCAGCGGUAGAGCGUUGGACUGAAAAUCCUUGUGUCGGUGGUUCAAAUCCACCUCCAGACA